rnacentral:rRNA from 1 species
AUCAAGCUACUCAAAUAAAGCAUAUGGUGGAUGCCUUGGCAUAAUGUGCCGAAGAAGGACGUAAUAAGCCGCGAUAGUCGUCGGUGAGGAGCUAAUAUCCUUUGACCCGGCGGUGUCCGAAUGGGGUAACCCCGGUUCGUGUAAACGGACUGGACCGAGAGAUUUAUCUUUCGGUCGGUAACCCGGAGAACUGAAACAUCUAAGUACCCGGAGGAAAAGAAAUCGAAUGAGAUUUCCUUAGUAGCGGUGAGCGAAAAGGAAAUAGCCUAAACCCAUAUUUAUAUGGGUGUUGCAGGACCAGAUAUAUGAUGUUGUUUCGAUAGAAGAACACCGUGGAAUAGGUGGCCAUAGAGAGUGACAGCCUCGUAAUCGAAAUUGAAGCAACAUUAAUUUGGCACCUAAGUACGUUGGGAGACGGCAAACUCCCUGCGGAAUCCGCCCCGACCACGGGGCAAGGCUAAAUACACAUUAUGACCGAUAGUGAACGAGUACCGUGAGGGAAAGGUGAAAAGAUGGGUGAGACACCCAGUGAAAUAGUACCUGAAACCGUAUGCUAACAAACAGACAGAGCUUCGAUUUAUCGGAGUAAUGUCGUGCCUAUUGAAGAAUGACCCGUCGAGUUUGCAUGUACUGCUAGUCUAAGUGAUAUCGUCACGGAGGCGUAGUGAAAGCGAGGAUGAAUAGUCCGUUUAGCAGUGCGUCCAAGACCCGAAACCGGUGUGAGCUAACCAUGAGCAGGGUGAACUGUGAGUAAAAUCACAGGAAGGCCCGAACCAGUAACUGCUGCAAAAGUUUUGGAUGACUUGUGGUUAGGGGUAAUAUGCCAAUCGAACCCGGAGAUAGCUGGUUCUCCCCGAAAUAUAUUUAGGUAUAGCCUUGAGUAAUUGCAUGCGUGGGGGUAGAGCACUGAAAAGGUAUAGUGAAGCAAUUCAUUGUACUUUAUCAAACUCCGAAUACCAUGUAUGUUUAUCUCAGGAGUCAGUCCUUGGGAGCUAAGUUCCAGGGGCAAAAGGGAAACAACCCAGAUCGUCAAUUAAGGUCUCAAAAUCAUAGCUAAGUGGCUCAAGGAAGUCAUAAUCCAUAUACAGCUAGGAGGUCGGCUCAGAAGCAGCCAUCCUUGAAAGAAAGCGUAACAGCUCACUAGUCUCGGAUUGUGGCGCCGAAGAUCCAACGAGGCUCAAGCUAUGUACCGAAAUUACGGAUUGUCACACAUUUAUGUGUGAUUCUGGUAGGGGAGCGUUCUAACAGCAGUGAAGUCGUUUUGUAAGAAACGGUGGAGCGGUUAGAAGUGAGAAUGGCGGGAUGAGUAGCGAGAUGGAGGUGAGAAUCCUCCACACCGUAUGUUCCAGGUUUCCCACGCAACGUUCGUCGGCGUGGGGUUAGGCGGCCCUAAGGUGAGGCUGGUGUAAUGCCGGCGUAGCCGAUGGAUUACCGGUUGAUAUUCCGGUUCUCUAGGGCGUUCGUUAUCAGCUUGGGGAGGGACGGUUUAGGAAGAGCGGGGCGCAUUACAUGAAUUUGCGUCCAAUCGCUGAGGCAGUUGGCUAUAGGAAAAUCCGUAGCCGGCGUUACAACCCGAGGUGUUAUGGGGAAUGUGGACCUUGUGUCCGCGUGACUCCGCAACCUUUCUGAAUCCAAGAAAAUCUUCAUGAGCGAGAAUGUUUUAGAUCCGUACCGCAAACCGACACAGGUGAACUGGUAGAGUAUACCAAGGUGAGCGAGAGAACCUUCCUUAAGGAACUCGGCAAAUUAGCUAGGCGUAACUUAGGGAGAUGCCUAACCUGUUUUUUUGGUACUUGUAUCAAAAAAAUGGGUCGCAGAUAAAGACUAUGAGGUGACUGUUUAACAAAAACACAGGUCUGUGCGAAGACGUAAGUCAACGUAUACGGGCUGAGGCCUGCCCAGUGCCAGAAGGUUAACUGAGAGGGUAACCCCGACUUGUUCGGGAUAGCCUUUGAUUGAAGCCCUGGUGAACGGCAGCAGUAACUAUAACUGUUCUAUGGUUAAGGAUAUACAAAUCGUUGCCAUAGUGAGGUAGUCAAACCUCUCUGAUCAGUGCAGAAAAUAAUGAUCAGAAAAACUUUGCUAUAUGCUGGAAGAGCUGAGAAUCUUCUGCUACUAUGAGUGUAAUGACACAUAGUGACAAUGCAAGAAGUGCAGCAAACCAGCAGGAAAGACUCAAUCCAUGGUGGAUUGUCGGUUUUGUAGAUGGUGAAGGUUGUUUCUCUGUGAGUACGUUCAAAAACGAUACGUGCUCAAGUGGUUAUCAAACUCUUUUUGAGUUUGUCAUCACUCAGGGAGAAAAGAGCCGUUCCUCACUCGAACAAAUCGAAAGAUUUUUUCAGUGCGGGCACAUUUACAUUAAUCAUCGACAUGAUAAUCACCAUGAAAAUAUAUUGCGAUAUUGUGUGAGGCGGCAAACUGAUCUUAAAAAGAUCAUAAUUCCGUUUUUUACUAAAUAUCAGCUUUAUACAACUAAACGUCAGCAAUUUGAAAAUUUCUGUCGCAAGUUGAACGAAAGAGUAUCCCCAGAGACUAUACGCAAAGCAUCGCGAAAGCGUAAAGAUAUAGUCCGAUCUCAUGAGCGAUCAUGAGUCAACAAUUUAGAGCGAAAUUCCUUGUCGGGCAAGUUCCGACCUGCACGAAUGGCGUAACAAUCUCAUGACUGUCUUGAGGAGGGACUCGGCGAAAUUGAAAUGGCUGUGAAGAUGCGGCCUACUGGUAACAGGACAAAAAGACCCCGUGGAGCUUUACUGUACCUUGACACUGAAAUUUAUGUUUUGACUGUGUAGCGUAGGUGGGAGGCGCAAGCCGAUCAUGUAACACCACUCUUUGAAACGUGAGUUUCUCACUUAUCUUGCUCAAUCGCGAGAGAGGACACUGUCUGGGGGGCAGUUUAACUGGGGAGGUUGCUUGCUAAAGAGUACCGCAAGCGCGCAAAGGUAUCCUAAUUCCGGAUAGAAAUCGGAAUGAUAGUGCAAGGGCAUAAGGAUGCCUGACUGUGAGACUUACAAGUCAAGCAGAGACGAAAGUCGGACCUAGUGAUCCUCGUGUACUUCGUGGGAGGUACCGGGCUUAUCGGAUAAAAGCUACCCCGGGGAUAACAGAGUAGUUGCACCUGAGCGUCCACAGCGAC